AUGAUGCCAGGACUGCAGCUGUCCGCAGAGGAAGGGUUAGACCUGGACAGGUCGUGUUUGGAGGAACUCAGAGUGGUUUUCCAGAUGGGAAUCACAUUGCUCUCUGUCCCUGAGAUCUUGCUGGAGACAGGGCUACUCAGUCCCUCUUUGCUGGAUCAUCUGUUCCAGAGGAAACGUGUCAUUCUGACUGAGCCCCUGCCUGUCUGUCACCUUAAGAACCAGUCAAUUCAUAUGGUCCACAUAUCAAGGUCUCCUGUGCCCAGAGAGAGGAUUUCAUUUCAGCCGUCACCAUCACCACCAUCAUCAUCAUCACCAGGAGGGGUUGUUGAAUUGAUAUUGGAAAAGCAGUUUCUAUUGAGCCCCCAAAUGAAGAGUGAGUGCAGAUGA
rnacentral:lncRNA from 1 species